UGUCUAUUAAUCUGUGGUUAUGACAGUUCUCCUAAUCUUUCGUCAUAUCUUUGCGUUUCGUACCUUACCAAAGUGUUUAGAAUCAGCUUUGUUCUACAGCAAAUGAUGGUAUUUUAUGCAAUACUUCAUCAAUGCUGUGAAAAAUAUCUUUUAUGAUGCAAGUUGCUACUUCAGUAUUCUUAAGAUGAUUUGCUGUUUAAUAAAAUGUGAUAGGAUAUGUAUACGAUAUAAAAGAAUUGAUAUAUCCUAUGCAUCGGUAAUAAUUGCAGAGCAGGCCUGUCAUCAAGCAUCAAAAAGAAUCCAUUUACAAACCAUGAUAUUUUGUUAAGCGAGAGUUCAUUAUUAUUGUCUCUGCUUUCAGAAUCUUGUGAAAUGUUAUGGAAUAACCAACUGUGACUAAUUUAAUUGUCGUGUUUAUUGAAGAAGGAUCAGUGUGCUUCUUUAUAUGAUUGCAGAAGGCAUAAAACAUCUAUGUUCCUAACUACUUAUAUAUAAGUGUGUUUGUUUGCAUAUGUUUGUAUAUGCGAGUUGUAAAAUAGUCUAAAGAUUUAUGUACAAAAUGCAAUAAUGUAUCA